rnacentral:lncRNA from 1 species
CUCUCUGCGGAAGCCAGCCACCGCUCUCCAAGGACUCUCGAGCAGCUCCAUCUACAGAUUCACAUGGAGAAGAAUUAAGGGUUCCUGCCAAUCACCAGCACCACUUUGCCAGCCUUGUAAGUGGGCCACCUUGGAAUUGGAGCCUCCAGUUCCUACUGACAUCUGACUGCAACAUCAUGAGAGACCCUGAGUUUGAACCACCCAGCUGAGCUGCUUCUGAGCUAACCCACUGAAACCAGUCUUGCUCUGUCACCCAGGCUAGAGUGCAAUGGCAUAAUCUCAGCUCACUGCAACAUCUGCCUCCCAGGUUCAAGCAAUUCUCCUGCCUCAGCCUCCCAAGAAGGUGAAAGUACCUGAAUGAAACAACACCCAGUAGCCACUAGCACACCUAGCUCCCAGAUCUGUUUUUGAUGCCAUUCUUCAGUAAAAGGAAGCAAGGCUGCUUGGAGAAAUUGCUAUCAAGGACUGGGGUAGAAAAUAUACAAGAUGAAAUUGGAGCAUCUUGUAGUGCUUGAAAACAGUUGGCAUCUGUGUGAAGAUGUGAAUGGAGGAGGCAGAGUAGGCAGUGAGUGCCGCAGCCACAGCUUGUGUUCUCUGCAGCCCUGGCACAGAAGAUAGGAACACUCAUGGGGGAUGCGGCCACUGUGAUGUCUUCCCACACAAGAAGUGCCAAGUGCUUUUCUCAUGCUUUUCUGGAUUGUCCCAUGGUGGACGAGUCAGCAGGAGUGAGAUGGAGCAGCACAGUAGAGGGGUACCUGGCAAGGCCCGGAGGGAGGACCCCCUGCCCCAAACAUUUCAAUGAUAUCAGGUUCCUUAGAUCCUGGGAUGAGGAGGUGGACCAGCAGAAGGUGGGCUUGUGAAGGCAGCCCGGGGUCCAAAUCCUCCUGGCUCUUCAGCUUAGCGGGUUAGUUAACAUUCAGAAGCCUUCAUCUCCCAUCUGCAAAAUGGGCAUGUCCAACUCAGAAGCUGCCUUGAAGAAAGGGUCUACCCAGCAUGGUGCGUGGAGCCUAAGCAGUCAGUACUUCAGGACUUCACCCGGCCCCUUUCCAAUAACUGCUGCUGUCGCCCUCACAGGAUGUCACCUUCAGCGUCUGAAAGCUGGGUUUGAUGCGUCUGGAAAGGCGUCCCUGACAGGCGUCGUUGCCAGGAGCCCCUAGUGCCACCAGCAGCCAGCAGGGGAGGGCGUCCUCUGCCCGCUCACUUCUGACCCUUCUCUCGUUGCACCCGGAACAUGGUGCAGCUGGGAGCAGCCUGGGCUGCGCGGAAGGCUCAGAUUUGGGGACGGCCCUUGCCAGUGACUGUGAGCUGGGGUGUCUUGGAAACUCCCAGUCUCAGCUUCUCCAUUUAUAAGAUGAGAAUGAUCAUACCAGACUCAGGCAAGGUUGUUUGUGCAUUAGUGAAAUCAGACGUAUUAAAUAAAGUACCACAUUGAUCGUGGAGUUGUUGAAUAACCAAGAA